UUCACAUGUUUUGACAUCUGCUGUCAUUGAAGGUCGAGCGUGUGUCUGCAAUUUCAAUUGCAUCAGAUUCGGUAAUUUUACAAUAAAAUGGGAAACGCAAGUGCUAAGGCUGCGGAUGUAAAAGUCGUGGAGCCGCCGGCACCGGCGAAUGCUGAGAAACCCAAGCUAAAGCCGUGCUGUGCUUGCCCAGAAACCAAGAGAGCGCGAGAUGCAUGCAUUAUUGAGAAUGGUGAGGAGAACUGCGGCCCCCUGAUCGAGGAACAUAAAGCCUGCAUGAGAAAGAUGGGUUUCAAUAUCUAAGAAAUGAGACUGGACGCGACUUAGUACCUAAUUAAGAUUACCUUACAUAGUUCUAAUUAAAUUAUUCUCUGAUCAUGUAGAUCAUGUGAAUCUUUAGUCAAGAAUGUUUAACAAGUCAAAGUCAAAUGUUUUUAUUUCAAAUAGGCCUUUGCAAGCUCUUAUGAGACGUCACACUAGUUGUAUGGUUCCAAAAAGUUGGUCGCACGGAGAAGAUCCGAUGAGAAACUCCAUGGACACUCCUUUUUAAGAAAGUUUCACUUGGCCUUCCCCAAGUUGAGGCAAUUUUCUUACCCAUACUCACCACGCUGGGCAUGCAUUUUGAUGAAACAUGAUAGAUACAUGUUUCUCCACUAUCACACCUGAACCACUAUCAACUGAUGGUUCAAAUAUGGAACAUACUUGCCUCGUAAACGAAUAAGGUUACAUUUGUACUACAAUCUGCCAAAGUAAAAUCUGUCUACAACUACAGAUGACUGUUCAAGAUAGAGAUGUGGAAACUUCUUAGAGCCCUAUGUGCCUGAUACAUGAGUUUUCUAAACAUAUUGAUUGUUUUGAGAGUUAUUAUAUUGCCGUCACAUGCAAACAUUAUAAUUUCAUGAAGACAAACUUCACUCUUUAGAAAUUAAAAGUGAAUUUUUAUAUUUUGUUUAAUGAAAGAGUUGCUCAGUAACCUUUACCUGAAUAAUUUACUUAGAAUUGUGUAACAACGGUAGGACAUUAAAAAUCAUUUUAAAGUCACUUGACAUUAAAACCUUCAUAGUGAGAUGAAAUGUAGACAUUUUUGCUUUAACUUUAUGAUAUUGUUAUGAUUUAACAAUAUUUAGUAUUUGGUUAGAUUUUAAUAAUGUGUGAAUGAGUAUCAUCAGGAAUGCAUUUUCAUGUUGAAUAAGUUUUCAGUCACCGUACUUAACAUUUCUUAAAAAAAAAAUACAUGUGGAUGCGAGCUACUUUAAUUUAUGGUUAGUUGGAUGGAUCUGCCAAAGAUAUAUAUUUCCUUCUUUUUAAUGCAAACCACAAUUAAUAAUAAUCAUAUUUAUGAAAAGCGCAGUGAAAAACAUUUGUGUAAAAUCAAAACUACACAAAGAUCUGUACUGUAUGACUGCAAUGAGAUGUCAUCUAUUUAUUUUUAGUAGUAAUAUAAUAUUGUAAAUAAAAAAUUGUUAAACA